GUCUGGAAGGGGGAGACAGACGAGAAAACACGAACAAUACAGAGAAGAUUAGCAUGGCCCCUGUGCAAGGAUGACACGCAAAUUCGUGAUGCGUUCCAUAUUUUU